AUCGUUCGUCUGACUUGGG
rnacentral:snRNA from 1 species